rnacentral:lncRNA from 1 species
AGUCCUUCGCCGUCCCUCGCCGUCCUUCGCCAUCGCACGCCACCGCACCCCAUCUCUCGAAAUCUGCAGACAUCUUGAUUUUUCCCACGCUGUCUGUCAGGUCUCCGCCGCCACUCGACGCCAGGGCGCCGGGUGAGUCCACAGCAGGGCGCAUGGUCGGCUCCACUCUCACCAUCGGGGGAAACUGAGGCCCCGGGGAAGGCGGCCAGAGAGGUCAGGCCCUGUCCUUGGUGCAGUGUCUCGUCCUCUUUGCCGGAGUGAGCCCCCCAGGAUUCGCGUGUCCUCGGGAAAGACACUGGCAGGCCUUGUGGGCUGUGCUGCACCUCGGACGGCUUCGCACCAGCCAGCGCCCUCUCUCUCCUGCAGCACUCUGAUCUGCACCCCCUGAGGGGCUUCCACUGUCCGCGGGGUGAGAAUGCCCCUGGGAGUGUCACAUGACUGCCGCCCCAUGUGUGUGAGAGGCGUCCUCUGGGAGAGCAUGGAUCCUGAGGUCCCAGGAUUGUCAGCUGACCUCUGUCCUGUGUGCCCAGUGGCCCCAGGUGACGUGUCUUCAAGAAGAGGCUGAGCUGCGGUGCUUGUAAGGCAGGGUCUCAUUCUGUCACCCAGGCUGGAGUGCAGUGGUGCAAUGAUGGCUCACUGCAGCCUCGACCUGGGCUCAAGUGAUCCUCCACCUCAGCUUCCUGAGUAGCUGGGACCACAGAGUCAUGUGCUGUUCCUGGGGCUUGGAUGAUGUAGGGGAAGCAAGGUGAAAGUGGUAUCCCGUGGUUCCACGUUCUGUCCUGCUGUGGGGCUGUCCCUCACAUGCUUUCAGUGGCUGUUGCAGAGGAAGAGCCUCCGGAAAUCUGCGUGGGUCUCAGCCUUAGAUCCAAGGACAGUCCAAGGAAGUCCUAAGACCAUGGAGUUGGUGAUCUGGGAUCUGGGUUUGCUGAUAUUUCUCACCGUGAAUCUCUUGGUGGUGUUUGUGGGCACGAGAGGGGCAGAGAAUGGAGAGUGAGGCUACCACAUGAAGCGUCACCAGAGCUGCUCCCUGCUGCCUGCUCAGAGCACCCCGGAUCCACUGUUCAAUCUGCACAAGAUUCGGGGUCCAGACAUGGGAGACUUCAGCUGCCUCAGAGGACCGUGGACAGGGAAGGCCAGCCUCGCAUCCCUCUGUCCAUGCCUGGAAUGACUUUAAUAACCAAGAGUUUUAUUUUUGAAUUUGUAGCUGUCGUUCACUUUUUACCCACCCAUUCAAUAAACCUUACAGAAUUGCUCCA